CUUUCUCCGUACUCUGUGAAUUCGUAAAGGGAUCUUGACUAGAAGAGGCACCAGUAUUCGGCAUACUUCCAGGUAAUUGAUAUUUUGAGUUUUUUGGAGGGAAUUCAGAAGAUGAAGAAGGAAAUCUGCCUUGUCGCAUCGUUGUUCUUUGUCGAAUAAGGGAGUCUUGUAUUUUGCGAAGUAUUUCAAAGCCAUCAUCUCUUUGACGUAUAGCCGACAAAUUGUAUGCCAGAGUAGUAAUCUGAGCAACCUAUUCAUAAUUUGUAAGCUUGAGCUUAGUAUUACUUAAAACUUACCCCAUUUCCAGCAAGACCUCCUAUAAUUGAUGUUGCAUACAAGCGGAUUGGAGUAACCUUUUUGUUACGAGCUAAAAAAUAAGAAAGUUAUUUUCAAUUGCUUGUUCGAAAUCUCAUACCUAAGUAUAAUGGGAGAGAAAACCCGACUAGCAUCCCAAAAAUCGUAUUUCUUUUGACACGGUAUUUUGCAUGAUUUAGAAAUUCCUUUUGGUCAUCACUGAAAUGGUUUUGAGGAUCAUUUAACAUUCGUUCCCAAAAAAAAUCCAUGAUAAUAAACGUUGGAAGCGAUUCCUGAGGCUACACAAUAAUGUCAAGAAUAUGAAACGUGCUUAUACGGGUUAUGUUAGCGAAAUAAAUGUAAUUAAAUUAUUUGCGGACUGUACAAUUUAACCCAAUAUAUAAAAAUUUGAGGCCUUUCUAAUGUAAAAAUACUACUACUAAAAGGUAAUAGUACUCAUCACUUGUUGCCUUAUGGAUAGUUUGGAUACUGAUGUAAGAGGAUGUGAAUAAGGAGAAUCUCUAGGGAUUAGGACCAUCUAAAUUUCCCAGCUACUACAGUGAUACUUGGCAUGAAUAAGAAAUACGUAUCUGAAUAAAAAUUUGACACACAAGAUUGUUCUGUUGAAAUUUCUUAUGAAACUGAUAGACUGAAUUUUUUUUGGCUGGUAAGCACUUGUGAUGAAAUAUGCAACUUUUUCGAACUACGUUUUACAUUCCAUCUUUCAAUGAAACAGACCUUGGUGGCAUCAAUUCGUGGUAUACGAUUGUUUUGAAUUUUAAUAUUGCAAGCAUAUAUGUUCAACAGGAAUUUCCCAGUUGUUAAAUAAGUCUAUAUCGUAUAAUUCUUUGUCAUUAACCGUAUUUAUUCAUUUUGAACUAAUUUAGCACAGAAUUCUAUCUCGUAAAUUAAACAAGCGCCACUGCAUUUUACACAGCUAACGAAAAAUACAAGAAGGCAAUUGAGAAAUAGAGAAAUAGAUGCAAUACAGACUUG